GAUGAACGCUGGCGGCGUGCUUAACACAUGCAAGUCGAGCGAAGCACUUAAGUUCGAUUCUUCGGAUGAAGACUUUUGUGACUGAGCGGCGGACGGGUGAGUAACGCGUGGGUAACCUGCCUCAUACAGGGGGAUAACAGUUAGAAAUGACUGCUAAUACCGCAUAAGACCACAGUACCGCAUGGUACAGUGGUAAAAACUCCGGUGGUAUGAGAUGGACCCGCGUCUGAUUAGGUAGUUGGUGGGGUAACGGCCUACCAAGCCGACGAUCAGUAGCCGACCUGAGAGGGUGACCGGCCACAUUGGGACUGAGACACGGCCCAGACUCCUACGGGAGGCAGCAGUGGGGGAUAUUGCACAAUGGAGGAAACUCUGAUGCAGCGACGCCGCGUGAAGGAUGAAGUAUUUCGGUAUGUAAACUUCUAUCAGCAGGGAAGAAAAUGACGGUACCUGACUAAGAAGCCCCGGCUAACUACGUGCCAGCCGCCGCGGUAA
rnacentral:rRNA from 1 species